AUGGCGGGAUCCGACCGCCCUCGGCCCCCGGCGCGGCCUCAGCCACCGGAUCCGGCCGCCGUCGGCCCCUCAGCGCGGAAUCCCCCCCGCUCGCGCAGCUCAUCGCCGAAUCCGGCGAGAUCCACGCAGGUGCCCCUGUCCCGCGCCGCCGAGGCCCGGGUCGUCCUCCCCCUCUCCGGCAGGGAGGCUCCGUCGAGCAACUCCCCCGCUUGCCACCGGGAUGAGGUCGGUCAGGAGGCAUGCGCUAACGCCCCCUGCUGCCCGCGGCGGAUCCGACGAGCCAACCCACCUCCUCAUCUCCCUCGCGGCAGAUCCGACGAGCUCUAUCACCACGCGCCGGUGGGCGGACCCUCCUCCCUCCUCCACAACCGGCGUCGUGCACAGGCGGCGGCGCCACCGUUUCUCCCAGCCAUCCUCCCCCCCCAGCCACGUCUGGAUGGAUAUGGUCCGCCCGCCGCCAGAUUUGGCCACGCCUUCGACCACGGCGACAUGAUGGGGUGCAGGAUCCAGGGAGGUUUCGGGCGUCAAGAAGCCGUCGACCUCGCCGAAAAUUGCCCUUCCCUCCUCCCGGCCAAUCUCCUCCACCGGAUGCCUCGCACGCUGCUACGCCAGGCGCCGGAUCCCUCGACCAUUGAUGCACCAGGGAUGAGCUCGGCACGUGCACGACUACUGGACUACCUGACCUUGAUCAUCGUGAAGUCAAGACAUAUCUACGAUCUGGGAGGGAUGGAUGACGCGCUGUCGCAGAUUAGCCAGGCGUUCCGGCUCGCCGGCGAGCUCAUGGGUGAGCUCCAGGCCAGCCAGAACGGCCCGGCCUACAUCGCCGCACGCUGCCACGACAUUGUCCAUGCCUACAACAGAGCCAUCCGCAUGUUGCAGCACUACGGCGUGGGCGAGGUGGCCGCAGCCGCGCCGCUGGACAUCCUGCGCCCGUGCAGCACGGAUGAAGCCGGCGCCAGCCAGUUUCUCGGAGAGACUCCGGCGCAUUUGGCCCACCGGAAGGAGCCAUUCCACAUGCCGGCCGGCGUGUUCGGUGCGCGAGUGGCGCCACAGCACACGAUGUGCGCGGGCGCGGGCGUCGGCACGUCCGGUGGCCCGAUGAGGAGGCUGCCGUCGUCCAGGUCUCCGCCAGCGGUCCAGCCACGGCAGGGCAGGAGGAGGAGGGAAAGCGGGAAGAGGGAGACGGUGUUGGUACCUGCACAGCGGACGGGCAACACCGAACUGCCACCAGACGACGGGUACACGUGGCGCAAGUACGGCCAAAAAGACAUUCUCGGCUCUAAGUACCCAAGGAGCUACUAUCGGUGCACUCAUAAGAACUACUAUGGUUGUGACGCGAAGAAGAAGGUGCAACGCUUGGACGACAACCCCUUCAUGUACGAGGUGACAUACUGUGGCGACCAUAGCUGCCUCACUUCCACCACCCCGCUACUCAUCCUCCCCACAGCUAGCACCACAACCUCUGCUGCCAACUCUCCGACUGCCGCAACAGGCUCCGGCCUCCCCACCAGAGACCUCCCCAUGGAAGCGGCCAAGCAGACGCACUCGGCCACGCCAGUCAAGCUCGGCAUUAGUUGGAUGCCGGCAAGCUUCCAAGGCAUUUUGGCAGGCUCUGUCACUGGCAUGGGGACCAUCGCCAACAUGAAGAUGAACGUGUCCACGACACCAAGGGACACGGAUUACCCGACGCUGGACCUCGCGGACGUCAUGUUCAACUUCAGCGGCAGCAUGGACGACAUCUUCUCUUCUUAUGAUCGACAUGAUACAUAG
rnacentral:rRNA from 1 species